GACGAACGGCUGGCGGCGUGCCUAACACAUGCAAGUCGAACGGGGGGAACAUGAAGUAUUUCGGUACGGAAUGCGCCCCUAGUGGCGAACGGGUGAGUAACACGUGGGCAACCUGCCCCAGACUGGGGGAUAACAUUGUGAAAACAGUGCUAAUACCGCAUGACAGGGUUCCGGGCAUCCGGGACCCUUGAAAGGAGAAAUCCGGUCAGGGAUGGGCCCGCGUCCAAUUAGCUAGUUGGCGGGGUAACGGCCCACCAAGGCGACGAUUGGUAGCCGAACUGAGAGGUUGAUCGGCCACAUUGGGACUGAGACACGGCCCAGACUCCUACGGGAGGCAGCAGUGGGGAAUAUUGGGCAAUGGGCGAAAGCCUGACCCAGCGACGCCGCGUGAAGGAUGAAGGUCUUCGGAUUGUAAACUUCUUUGAUCAGGGAAGAAAGAAAUGACGGUACCUGAAAAACAAGCCACGGCUAACUACGUG
rnacentral:rRNA from 1 species